rnacentral:rRNA from 1 species
UACGUAGGGGGCGAGCGUUGUCCGGAUUUAUUGGGCGUAAAGAGCGCGUAGGCGGCCGUUCGCGUCGGAUGUGAAAGCUCGGGGCUCAACCCUGAGAGGCCAUUCGAUACGGGACGGCUAGAGGUAGGUAGGGGAGAUCGGAAUUCCUGGUGUGAGCGGUGAAAUGCGCAGAUAUCAGGAGGAACACCGGUGGCGAAGGCGGAUCUCUGGGCCUUACCUGACGCUGAGGCGCGAAAGCUGGGGGGAGCAAACAGG